rnacentral:rRNA from 1 species
AGCGAACGCUGGCGGCAGGCUUAACACAUGCAAGUCGAGCGCCCCGCAAGGGGAGCGGCAGACGGGAGAGUAACACGUGGGAACGUACCCUUCAGUACGGAACAACCAAGGGAAACUUUGGCUAAUACCGUAUACGUCCGUAAGGAGAAAGAUUUAUCGCUGAAGGAUCGGCCCGCGUCUGAUUAGCUAGUUGGUGAGGUAAUGGCUCACCAAGGCGACGAUCAGUAGCUGGUCUGAGAGGAUGAUCAGUCUCACUGGGACUGAGACACGGCCCAGACUCCUACGGGAGGCAGCAGUGGGGAAUAUUGGACAAUGGGCGCAAGCCUGAUCCAGCCAUGCCGCGUGGAUGAUGAAGGCCUUAGGGUUGUAAAGUCCUUUUAACGGGGAAGAUAAUGACGGUACCCGUAGAAUAAGCCCCGGCUAACUUCGUGCCAGCCGCCGCCGUAACAC